ACUCACUCCCUGUAGCUUGGAAUCAAGUGAUUUUUGAUGCUAUGGUUAGCUAACGAAAUUCUGGACGUUUUGGUACCAGUUUCAUUGAUUUUGGUCUAGAUUUGAAGUCUGUAGACGAUUUUGAAGUUGGGGGCAGAAGUAGGAUUUUGUGCUGAACCAUGAAUAUAAAGCAAAGGAAAGCUGAGAUAGAGCAACCAACCACUUCUACAAUUGGCGAGUAUAAACAUUUUGUCAAAGGUUCUUGCUUAGCAAAAUAAGCGGGAUAUAGCAGAGUUUUGCAAGUAUGAAGGGGUAGUGCUGGACAUCCCUUUGAAAAUUGUCCGUGGCAGUUGUCAAAAAAACUGCCAUACCAUUUCCGCCAUGACUGGCAUUUAACUACACAACACUAUAUCAGAUUCAAUCGUAACGUUAAAAUCUUUAUCAUGUAUGUUUGCAUGAUCAUGUUGGUAGUAAUUGGAAGCCUGUAGUAUCAAAUAUGGGAGUAUGCAACUAACAUGGCUGAUUCUCCACUGCCCCCCUUAGUUCUUAUGCAACAGGCAUGGCAUGAUUGGUCGAAAGCUGUAGAGAUAUGAGUGAAGGAUUUGAAAGGUUUGCUACGUUUAAUGAAGAACUGUUCAAGGAAAUCACACAACUAUUGACAUUGGAGAUUUUAGGGAAAAUGAAUAGUUGUCAAAGUAUGGUGAUACUAAGUCUGUGCGGGCAGUCACGUUGGUUGAGCUUAAAAAGCACAUUGAAGCCAAUCAUUAUUUCUUGACAAAUUGCAAUUUCCUAACCUAAAAAACUCAAUGUUAAGGACACUCAUCAAUCAAAGAAUUGUAGAUGGCCUUGCUGUUUGCGAGGCAAUUAUGACAUGGUGAUUUUCUUUUUCUUUUUUGGGUUACUUUUAUUUUUAGUUUUGCGGAUGUAUGAUUGGUAUUUACUAAUCAUGAUUAUAUUUAUGAGUGCUAUUUUUGUUGAAGGGUUAUUGCUUUAUACUGUUAUUAUUAUUUUACUCUGUGGUUGCAAUAUAAACUUUCAUGAUGACUUUUGGAUUAGCCCAUGAAAAAAAGUUUAUUUUUUAUUUUUUUUGCUGUGAUCUUCCUCCUCUAUUUACACUCUAUUGGGUUUACCAAAAUUUGUAUAUUGUGUUGAAAUUUGAAAGAGUGUAUGGUUUUGCCUGUCAACCAUUUCUUUUAUUAACUCAUGGUUGUUAAUUGAACCAAUAAUUAUGUUUUAUGCAUAUUUUUGGUAUUCACUUUCCUGAUUUGAAAUGGAACAAUACCUUUUUACAAAUUAAGCUUAUUCUGUAGAAGAUGGGCACAGAAAAAUAAAUUAAAUUUCUAUCUAACACCACGACUUAACGCCGCAAUCUACCUUUGCUUGAUCUGCUAUUCUAUCUGAUAACAAGUCUGACAUAUUAUUCACAAAGAGAGAAAGAAUAUGAUUGCUGAUAUAAUUUGGUUUGAAAUUUUAACGAUUUGAGAAGAAAUGUAACUGAUGUAUUCAUUCCACCAUUGAUGCCGCGAUUUGAUGCAGCACUCUACCUUUAACUUGAUGUGCAGGCUCUCCUUUUUUAUUUGAUGAAAUCAUUGUAACUUGGUCUGUUAUAUGCUUCAACUCUUUUUCAAUCUUUUUUACUUGAUUCUUCAGCAAUAUUAAUUGAUUCAAAUGUACUGUUCGAUAUAGAUUCUCUAUUAGACUGGUAUUAUUCUCUUGGUAUGUUUGUUUUCCUUCUUUUAAAUUGAACUUGGUAGUGCUCAAAUCUUCAUUUUUUACUCUUUUACAUUCACAUAUUUUGCAGGCUGGUCUUUUUGUAUAUGACAUUUUCUGUGUUUUCUUCACUCAUGUGAUGGUUAGCGUUGCGAAAUCAUUUGAUGCUCUUUGCUGAGUGCAAUGGAAAUAUUUGUUUCUUUUGUUCCCCACAGCAGAUUCUGCAAGGCUAUUUUCAAUGCUUGGACUUGGUGAUAUUGUUAUUCCAGGGGCGAUAAUGCCGAAUGGUUGAAAGCAUUCAAAGGCUGUAUUGAGAAUCCAUAAACCAUCUUGUUGUAAGUAGAAGGCUCCGAUGAAGUACUCAAUUCCUUUUUUCGAGUGAUAUUGUAUGUGGGAGAUAAGAUUUGAUCACCGGGUAUUUACCCAUUUGGGUUUAAAUUGUAAAAAGAAUACUAGUAGUUAAAAGAGAUAUUGUUUUAUACGUUGAAAUAGAAACUGGAUGUUAAGUG